CACGGAAAAGCAGUUCCAACGUCGUGUAUCCAGAGGCGGUGUUAAAAGAAGCUUUCUGAUUGGCCAGAGACUGGCUUGGACCAUCUUCGGGAGGAAUGGGGACUCGUCGUAUCCUCCUGCCCUUCUAGAGGGGACAAGAGAGGACAGAAGGAGCUUGCCACCCUCUCCUGGAGAUGCCAGGUCCCCAGUCUGCCAAACACUGGGGGGCGUCAGGGUAUGUGCCCAGGUGUGGGAUUGCUGCUCCAGCCACUUUAAAACCAAGUCCAUGAAACGCCUGGCUGCUUCCCGGCACAGGGGGAGGACGCCCCCAAUGGCACUGUAACCUUUAUUUCUUGGCCUUGUUGUCGCCAUCCCCCACCAUUUCCCAUCCUGCCUGGUACCUGCCGACGACGUUCCAGUAAUCCUGGAGUUGGAUCUGAAUCUUGUUCCAUCACUUUCUGGCUGGGUGGCCUUAGGUCAGCACCUGACCUCUCUGAGCUUCAAUUUUCUCUUGUGUAAAAUGGGUAUGAUAACGUCGACGUGCACAGCUACUGAGAAGACCAGAUGAGAAAAUACAGAAAGAUGCCUGGCACACAGGAGACGGCUUAUAAAUGUUAGCUCCUUGGAUCUCCUCAGCACCACUGGCACAGGCUGGAACUUUGAAAUAAUAACACCAAUAGCCACAAAAAUCCCAAAACGAAGACAGGAAGAUGUAAACAGACAGAGGACACGGGACGCCCAAAGAGCAAGUUUCUGACACUGUCUAUCCCAUCCGAGUUAGGAUUCCAUCCCUAACAUGCCUGUCCACGGACACUCAGUCUCUGCCCCUCAGUUUCUGCGUCUGUAAAAUGGGGACGAUGAGAGUAUCUCCUCAUACGGCAACAGUGAGGACCACAUGAGGUACAGUGGUGCCUGGCACACAGAGGGAGCGCAGUUCAAUCAAGUCUUAAGUUGAGGUGUGAGGGAGAGUGUUCCUGGGUAGACGGGGGCGGGAUCCAGAGUCCUUCCUCCUAUAAAAAUGCAGGCACACCUCUACCUUUGCCAAGGAAGCCUCACGUGAGGGCCCUGGGGCCAGCUCGCUGGUAUCUUCAUCAUCCAAUCAGGAGACAAGGGGUGGGGCUGGGGAUGGGGUGCAGUUGGCAAAGGGUCAGAGGAUGGGCGGACUCACUCCUCUCCUUUCCCUUAAGAUACUGAAAUUAGCCUAAUGAGGUCUGUCCCUGUUCCGGGCGCUGUGGGAAUUGGACAAAAUUAGAAGCUAUUGACAGGUGAGAGCAUGGCCGCUGAUAGCCCGAGGUGAAAAUGAGAUGAACUUUGAGUCAGCUCCUGGAAGACUCUCUCCUCCCCUCCUUCGUGAUGACCAAGGUGAAGAGGACCGGCCCCCGGUUUAUCACCUCACUUCGAAAUAGCUCCCAGGCUGCGUUUCUUAUAAUUUGGUCUUGCAAACAAGGAUCACUUUCCCACCCCAGAGGACGGGGAGGCCGGGUCAUUUGGGGUCUAGCCGGACGGCCGCAAGGAGCCGGUAAACAGUCCUGGGGGCACACUCUGUGCCAGGCACCACCCUGCGAGCUGUCCCAUUUCGUCCUCGCCAGCUCCCUUAUCCCCAUUUUACUUACAGGGAAACUGAGGCCGAGAGUCACUCAGCCAGGAAGAUUGUGACUCGGGCCUGGCUCGUGGCAGGAUGUGUCUCUUUCUCAGGGCUUGGAGUUGAACAGCCCUGGGUUCUUGAAUCAAGCUGUAACCUCCAGAGGCAGGAGAGGGAUAAAUGGAGAAGGAAAGUCUUCUUUCUGCCCUCACUGCUGCUCCUUUUCUCAGGAGGGCAGUUAUAUAAGGAGGGCUGCUUUCCCUCCUUCGGCUAAAUCUUAUCUAGUGCAGCAUAAGGUCGGGAGCUAGGGGGAGUCCACACGGGAAUAAGAACGAGCAUCCUGCUAAGCACAGAAACCAUUUAUACCUCGAAUGUCCCAGCUCAGCCUGGUGGAGGGAGUGGUAGACUCAGGAGACCUAUAGGUUCCAUCUGGCCAAGGGCUCGCUGGUGACUUUGGCACGUCACAUCUGCUGGGCCUCACUUUCCACGUCUCUCACUGGGGACCACAGCCUCUGUCCCCCAGACCAUGUUGGGCUGGGAUGAGGAUGUAACGAAAUAGGGCAAAACACUGCAUGACUUGGGGCUCUGCCAUCAGGGCUGCGGGCUGGCCCCGAUGUGCAUAUCCUGCCUUGCUUGGAAAUCAAACCCCAUAGGGGCUGGAGGGCUGGAAUUACAGGGAGGCAGGCAUGACUCUCCUUUUGUCCCUCUCAGUUUCUUCCCAUCUUAGACUCCAUUUCAUUUCCUUUGAGAGUGGGUAUUCCACUACUUCCAAAGGGUUUUGAGGUAGCUUACAAGAGAAAGCACGCAAAACAAGAGGAAAGGAACUGUUUCCAGAACACUCACAGUUCUUGCGACAACCUUUGAAGGUGGUUAUUUUUAACCCUGCUUUGGGAUGAGGACGUCCAGAGAGAGGAGAAGCCUUGGCCAUUCACACUGCUGGUAGCAGCACUCUACAGGUUGUAUUUUCUGCCUGACUUCAGGAGUUUCAGCCCGAGGGCUUACUCCCUCCCUCCUGCCUCCCAUGUUAAAUAUGCUACUUAAGGAUAAAAGAGAACAGAUUUUUGCCAGAAGGAAGCAGAAAAAGCAAAUGCCUUCAGGCAUGCAGAAACGACUGCAAGGGUCAGGCAAUCAUUAUGACUAAAUUUUCCAGCCACGGAAACAAAAGCAAACCACGGGCUCUUGAGUUGGAACAGGCUUGAAGCACAGGAAACGGGAUCUGCCACUGGGAUCAGGUUUCAGGGAAACUAACUAGGAUUGCAUGACUGCAUGUGUAUAUGCGGGGUAUGCAGUUCCUGCCGACAGCAUGGCGGGGCAGAGAAUGUCGAGGUUUGAAGCAGCGCCCCAAUGCUGAGUAGCUGUGUGAUCCUGGGCAAGUCACCCCACUUCCCUGAGCCUCAGUUUCCUUGCCUGUACAGUGAGGGCAUGUCUUGUGAUGCUCUUGUGAGGACGGAAGGAAAUGCCACACGGAUGGUGCCCGCUGUUCCCAGCAGCCUGCACGGUCCAUGCGGGCAGGUAUUGGGUACGGAGAAGCCAGGCUGGGGACACAUGCAGGGUGGCAGAGGGUCCUGCCUGGACCUCUGAGUCUCAAUUUUGGCUCUGCUACUGAGUGACCCUGGGCACGUUCCUUAACCGCUCAGUGCCUCAGUUUCCUCAACUACAAACCGGAAGAGCGAUGGCAUCUGUUUUCUAGGCUAAUUAUAAGGCAGUGGUUCUCAGAGUGUCAUCCCCAGACCAUGAGCACCACGUGGGAACUUUGUAGAAAUGCAAACGCUUGGGCCCCACCCCGGACUUAAGGAAUCAGAAGCUCUGGGGACGGGGCCCAGCCAUCUGUGCCGUGAAAAGCCGUCCGUGAUUCUGAUGCCAAGUGCUGUUGGAGACCCGCCGUGGGGAAGGGCAGGUACUUGAGAGAGAACCUGCCACUUACUAGUCUCGCCUGUUACCAAUCGCUGGGUCUGGGGUCACCUUCCACCUUUGAUCACCUUCUCCCUCCUUCUCUGCUUUAAAUCCCCCCUUUACCAGCUCUACACCAGGCUUCCAAGGGUGGCCAUCGAGAAUCAAUCGACCACAUCUAUAAAAGCCUUUGAGCUUCCUGGAAGUAGUUGCCCAGAAGUGGGAAAGCAAAGGGGUAUUAUUAAAACUUUGUCUUUCUACCCACUCCCAUCAACCUGUGAUCCUACAAGACCUGGUAAAUAUCACUCACCUUCAGAGGGGCAAACAGCUAGAGACGGAGGCAGUAUCCCUGGUUCUAGAAUCCCCUAGCACCUGCAAGCCCCAGCCCAAGUGGGUCUCCACCCUUAGCCUGUGGACCUCUCCCUAUACACCAUACUUCCUCAUCAUUGCAUCCCCAGAACUGGACACAUUCAUUCAUCAAACUUUUCUUGUGCCCCUACUAUGUGCCAGGCCCUAUUCUAGGUGCUGGGGUCAGAGCUGAACAAAACAAAGUUCCUGCCCUUGUGGACAUGACAUCCAACCCAGUGGGAGAGAGAGAAGCAAGCAAUAAGUCAGUAAAUAAAAUCGUCUCCGGUAGAUGCUCUUUGACUUUGAAUGAAUGGAUGAAUGAAUGAAGCAGGCGGCACAGGGCAUGUGCUUUGGAUCUGGACAGACCUGAACUCAGAUCUUGACCUUGUUUCUUCCUAGGCAAACUCUUAGCUUCUCUGAGACUCAGUGUCCUUAUCUAUAAAAUGGGGAUAGUAAUAGUAUCCUCAAAGAAGUUGGGAAGACUAAAUGAGUAAAAUGCUAAGCACAGUGCCUGGCACACAGAGGACUCCAUGAAGUUAGAUGUCAUUGCUGUCGUUAUUCAAGGUCACAUAGCUGAGCCUAGAUGCCAACCUGGUCCCCUGUCUAGAGGUGUAUGCACUGGGGCACCUGGAGAGUCCCAGGGCUGGAAGGGACCCUAGUGAUCAGCCAGUGACCUGACCCCUGAUUUUAAAGGGGCACCUGAAGGUCAGAGAAGUUCUGUGACUCGUCCCAAGCCCUACCGGGAGUUGAAGGCAUCCUCCAGCUGGUGGACAGGGCUCAGCCUCUUUGGCCUUUAGAGGGAGUGGGCAGCAAAGCAGAGGGUCUAAAAUAGAAAAUCCUGGGCCCACGAAGGGCUCUUCUUCCCAUCCCGCUGUUUAUUAGGCACCAUCACACCCAUCCUUCCUGUCGCCCUCCGGAUAAAGGACUGUGUUUGGGGGCGGAAGCGGGGAGGGGGCGUGUCUGCAUCUCCCCACCUCAGAAGCACGAGGUGUGGGCCCCCCUGCCUCGGGUGAUCUGUUCUCAUUGCCCAUGUCAUCUCUUGCCCCCCUGUUUUGUUCUGCCCUGAUUUCCAGACUUUCACCAGGUUGGCCUGAGCCUGGACUGUGCUGGCAGACAGACCUGGGUUCGAAUCCAUGUCACCUUGGGCACUGGAGCUGCUCUUUCUGCAUCUGCAUCUGUGUCCUCUGUCAUCCUAAGGUCAGAUGAGGUGACACGUGUGCAGAGUCCAGCAUCGGGCCGGGUGCACGUUACUCACCCUGGUAAUAAUUCUCUCUCCCCUCCCACCCUCAGCAAACCAACCUUCUUGCCCCCUUCUAAACAUGCCCUAAACUUCCCAGCCUUAGUGCCUUUGUUGAUUGAUACCAAGGCCUCGCCUGGACCUCGCUCCACUUGCCCUCCUGGCCUGUGGCAGCCCUGCCCGUGGUCUCCAGAUCCGCACAAGUGCCCACUGUCUCCCGCUCUGAAGAGCUCGUCUGCACCUCCUGGCCUCUGCCUGGUAUUACUGUGUGUUUGUGUAUAAAUCAUAGAGCUGUAAACAUCGUGCAGGUAGAAUAGAAAUAGUGUUGCAGCCGCUAUUUACUGAGCAUUUACUGUGCGCUGGGCACUGCACUCAACACUGCCAUACAUCGUGUCACGAAAUCCUCACAAAAUCCCAGUGAGCUCUGUGUUGCGUUGUGAUGCCCCGUUUAUAGAUGAGGGCUUUACAGUCGGGGCUCAGGGGCCCCCGGCCAAGAAGUGGUGCCUCUGAGGGUUGGGUCUCGUUCCACUUUGCGUCCCCCACUGCCCAGCACAGGGUUGCUACUCAGUAGCAACAGUAAAGAUCUGUUGGGUCUGAUGGAAGAGUUGAGUUAGUGCUUUAAGAUCUGAGUUGGGCAGUUAGGGAGGCAGGGAAGCAGGCCAGGAUCUGACCUGGUUUUCCUUCACCGUGUAGGUCGCUUCUGAGCUGUAGCAUAGUGGCUGCAAAUAAAAAAGGAAGGGAGGUCCAAAGGCCUGAGCUGGGGUCACGGGGGGAACCGAGCUCGGGGUGGAACUGUCCGAUAAGUGACUUAGUGAGGAUGGGGGUGUGGGAGAGACACGCCUCUCACUGGAAUCACCUAGACCAGCCACCCUUUUCCCUCCAGCGCCCUCUGCUCCACCUCCUUUAAAACCACCUCCCUCUUUCCCAGCCACAAGAAGGGCAGCUGGCAUCAGAAGGUCAGGCGGCUCAUUGCAUCUAACCUUUCUAGAGUUUCUCCGUUCUCAUUUCUGGCAUAAAAAUUUAAUAAACGAUGCCCACGUUCAGAUUCCUUGUACAUUUCCCAAGGCAGUUCUGUGUCUGCAGCCGCUUAAUUUUCACAACGAGCCCAAGCAGGUCUUACGAUAAAACUGUACACCCCGUUUGUCAGACACUGGAACCUAGGUGUGGAGAGGUGAUGGUCAAGGUCACAGCUGGUGAAGAGCAGGGAGCGAGCAGAGCAUAGGGGCUGGGCUUCACACUCAAGCUACAGGUGUUUAUUAAAUGCCUGCUUUGGGUUGGGUAUGGGCUAGACACUGGGGCUACAAGGAUGAAUACAGCCUAGCCCCUGUUAAAAAAGUAGUUAACAAACAUGUAUACAGCAAUUCUUCCAUGCCACUGUUCUACACACGUCACACAUUAACAAAUGUAAUCCUCUGACAAUCCUAUAAGAGCAAUCGUUAUCCUCAGUUCAGAGACGAGAAAACGGAGGCCCAGAGUAGUUACUUGAAUCGCCCCAAAUCACACAGCUAGCAAGUGGCCGGGCUGGGAUUUGAACCCAGACAGCACGGGCCCAGAGGCCGAGCACCUACACAUAGUUUUCUCUUAAAUCGGCAGAAAGGAUCAUCACGAGGUCCAGCACUGGUAUGGCAUAGAAUAUUGGACAGAGAUAUUCAGAAUUGGUUCUAAAUCCCCGCUCCCCCACGUAUGUCCUAGCUCUUUGAACAGGCCAAGCACCUUCAACCUCACUUUGCCCAUCUGCAAAAUGGAUAUGAUUCCCAAGGAUGUUGUGAUGCUAAGAAAGAUAAUGAUGCUGGGAUGUGAAUGCUGGUUAGAUCUGAAUGGAGAAGGAUGUGGAAUGGUGGACCGCCAGCCCCUCGUCUGUUCUGAAAGCAAAGCUUGAAAAGCAAGGUCAGGCCAGAUGUUCCUUUUCCUAAUUCCCAGCUCAUCCCUGGCCGGCUGUUUUUUCCUGGCUCUCGUGCAAUUCUGAAAUGGUAUAUUUGGGUGAAGCCGAAACAGGUUUUGAGGCUAAGUUACAGGACACCCAGGACAAGAUGCCGAGGAGGAUAGGAGAUAACGAAUUUCCAUCCCUGGAAUCUGAGAAUGUGAGAGUCAGUAGGUCCUGGGGGAUCAGUUGGCCUCAUUUCCUUGGGUUACAGAUGGGAGACUGAGACCCAGAGCAGGAGAGAGACUGCCCAAAGUCAUAUAGCUAGUUUGGGCAAAGCUGGGACCAAAACUCAGGCAAAAGUACAGACAAAGUUCAGGAAAAAUCCCAAAUUCUCCUGGAUUCCUUACACAGCAAGGAGAAAAAAAAAAAAGAAUCUAUUCCUUUUGGAUUAUUCAAAUCUAGAAAACAAUAUGCCAGUUUUUUCUUUGCCUGGCUUACAUGAGAGAGCUCUCAGACCUAACGGAUUGGCUUUUUUCUUCUAAUCUUGGGGAGUGGGGGACGCUCUCCCCUUCCCAUGGUGGAGGGACAUAGCUCUGAGCUUUUAGCAUCCAAACAUCCUGAGAUCCACCGCGUGCCCAGGCCAUGGCUACUCACCAUCGACCCCAAUCUUGUCAUCCCCAUCCUUGUCUCCAGCAGCCAGCAGUAUUUUGACUUCCUUAGCAGAUAGGUCUCUGGCAUCUGGGGAGAAGGCUUUCAGAAUGGAUCUGGAGGAGGAAAGGGAGAAAGUGGGGAGGGAGUCAGGCCAGGGUCGCCUUGCAGGAGCACCGUGUGGGUGGUGGGCUGGCGUCUGCA